rnacentral:rRNA from 1 species
GUGCCAGCAGCCGCGGUAAGACAGAGGUCCCGAGCGUUAGGCGGAAUCACUGGGCUUAAAGCGUGUGUAGGCGGAUUUGUAAGUACCUUGUGAAAUCCCACGGCUCAACCGUGGAACUGCUUGGUAUACUGCUUAUCUUGGGCCACUUAGGGGUUACCGGAACAAACGGUGGAGCGGUGAAAUGCGUAGAUAUCGUUUGGAACGCCAAUGGUGAAAACAGGUAACUGGGAGUGUGCCGACGCUGAGACACGAAAGCUAGGGGAGCGAACGGGAUUAGAUACCCCCGUAGUCC